rnacentral:tRNA from 1 species
GGAGAGGUGCCGGAGUGGUCGAACGGGGCGGUCUCGAAAACCGUUGUCCCGAGGAAUCGGGACCGAGGGUUCGAAUCCCUCCCUCUCCGCCA